GAUGAACGCUGGCGGCGUGCUUAACACAUGCAAGUCGAACGGAGAGGCCCAAUCUUUCUUGGGUACUCGAGUGGCGAACGGGUGAGUAACACGUGUGUGAUCUGCCCUUCACUUCGGGAUAAGCCUGGGAAACUGGGUCGAAUACCGGAUAUGACCACAUUUUGGAUGGUGUGGUGGAAAGUUUUUCGGUGUUGGAUGAGCUCGAGGCCUAUCAGCUUGUUGUUGGGGUGAUGGCCUACCAAGGCGUCGACGGGUAGCCGGCCUGAGAGGGUGUACGGCCACAUUGGGACUCAGAUACGGCCAAGACGCAUACGGGAGGCAGAAGUGGGGAAUAUUGCACAAUGGGCGCAAGCCUGAUGCAGCGACGCCGCGUGGGGGAUCACUGCCUUCGGGUUGUAACCUCCUUUCGCUAGGAAAGAAGAGCAAGUGACGGUAACUGGCGAAGAAGCACCGGCUAACUACGUG
rnacentral:rRNA from 1 species